CAGAGAAUAUGCCCUUUAGGUAUAUCUCCCACCCUUUUGUUUACAAUACUUCGUUGCUUUGGCAGGCCCGUCUUCUGGACCACCGGCCUUGGCUGGUCUGUGCCUGCCAGAGGAUCCCUAACACUCUUUAUUUAUGCUGUCUGAGUACUAUAUAAUACUUAA
rnacentral:misc_RNA from 1 species